rnacentral:lncRNA from 1 species
CUUUUCUUUAAAUGCCUUGAGGAGAGACAGUCUGUUUCAGCUGUGUGGGAGAGUGAGGUGCAAGACUGUGAAGUGCAGUGACCUAAAAAGGUUACAGGAGGGAAGGACUGUCCUUCAGUGCUUCUAGUCUGGAACCAGUGGCAAACAUUGACUUUGCUAACUUUCCUGCUAUUGAUGAAAAAUCAUCCAGCAUCAAUACUGGUGGGAUAAGGACUCCAACAGGAAGAAGGGCUCAGAGACCGUUGAGAGUUUCUGAAAACAUGAAGGCUGCACGGGAGGAAUUUCUUGCUUCCAGAAAUGCUGUUUCUCUCACAAGCUGUAGCAUGGCAGGUGCGACAGGGGUAGGACUGAAAUGAAAUCCCGAGGG